rnacentral:rRNA from 1 species
UACGUAGGGUGUAAGCGUUAAUCGGAAUUACUGGGCGUAAAGCGUGCGCAGGCGGUUUUGUAAGUCUGUCGUGAAAGCCCCGGGCUCAACCUGGGAAUUGCGAUGGAGACUGCAAGGCUUGAAUCUGGCAGAGGGGGGUAGAAUUCCACGUGUAGCAGUGAAAUGCGUAGAGAUGUGGAGGAACACCGAUGGCGAAGGCAGCCCCCUGGGUCAAGAUUGACGCUCAUGCACGAAAGCGUGGGGAGCAAACAGG